rnacentral:tRNA from 1 species
ACGACGAUGGCUCAACAGGCAGAGCGGCGGUCUCCAAAACCGCAGGCGGGGGUUCGAGUCCUCCUCGUCGUGC